rnacentral:rRNA from 1 species
GAUGAACGCUAGCGAUAGGCUUAACACAUGCAAGUCGAGGGGCAGCAUGGUCUUAGCUUGCUAAGACUGAUGGCGACCGGCGCACGGGUGCGUAACGCGUAUGCAACUUGCCUCACAGAGGGGGAUAACCCGUCGAAAGACGGACUAAUACCGCGUACACUCCAUCUUGGGCAUCCAAGGUAGAGGAAAUGAAAUUCGCUGUGAGAUAGGCAUGCGUCCCAUUAGCUAGUUGGUGAGGUAACGGCUCACCAAGGCGACGAUGGGUAGGGGAACUGAGAGGUUGAACCCCCACACUGGUACUGAGACACGGACCAGACUCCUACGGGAGGCAGCAGUGAGGAAUAUUGGUCAAGGGGCGAGAGCCUGAACCAGCCAAGUCGCGUGAAGGAUGACUGGCUUAUGGAUUGUAAACUUCUUGUAUACGGGAAUAACAAGAGUCACGUGUGACUCCCUGCAUGUACCGUAUGAAUAAGCAUCGGCUAACUCCGUG